rnacentral:rRNA from 1 species
CCACAAGGGGUGAAGCUUGCGGUUUAAUUGGAGUCAACUCCGGGAACCUUACCAAGGGCGACAGCUGGAUGAAGGUCAGAUUAAAGGUCUUACCGGACUAGCUGAGAGGAGGUGCAUGGCCGUCGCCAGUUCGUGCCGUGAGGUGUUCUCUUAAGUGAGACAACGAACGAGACCCGCACUUUUAGUUGCCACCGGAUUCCUUCGGGAUUCCGGGCACACUAGAGGGACUGCCCUCGCUAAGAGGGAGGAAGGAGCGGGCCACGGCAGGUCAGUAUGCCCCAAAUCCCUUGGGCCACACGCGAGCUGCAAUGGAUGGGACAAUGGGUUCCGACCCCGAGAGGGGAAGGCAAUCUUCAAACCCAUCCUCAGUUGGGAUCGAGGGCUGCAACCCGCCCUCGUGAACAUGGAAUCCCUAGUAAGCGCGUGUCAUCAUCGCGCGCUGAAUACGUCCCUGCUCCUUGC